UGAAGAGUUUGAUCCUGGCUCAGGAUGAACGCUAGCGGCAGGCCUAACACAUGCAAGUCGAACGGUAACAGGGAAAAGCUUGCUUUUCCGCUGACGAGUGGCGCACGGGUGCGUAACGCGUAUACAAUCUACCUUUUACAGGGGGAUAGCCUUUAGAAAUGAAGAUUAAUACCCCAUGGCAUUAUAAACCGGCAUCGGUUUAUAAUUAAAGUUUCGGCGGUAGGAGAUGAGUAUGCGUUCUAUUAGCUAGUAGGUGUGGUAACGGCACACCUAGGCAACGAUAGAUAGGGGCCCUGAGAGGGGGAUCCCCCACACUGGUACUGAGACACGGACCAGACUCCUACGGGAGGCAGCAGUGAGGAAUAUUGGACAAUGGAGGCAACUCUGAUCCAGCCAUGCCGCGUGCAGGAAGACUGCCCUAUGGGUUGUAAACUGCUUUUGUACAGGAAGAAACCUUUCCACGUGUGGAGAGCUGACGGUACUGUAAGAAUAAGGAUCGGCUAACUCCGUGCCAGCAGCCGCGGUAAUACGGAGGAUGCAAGCGUUAUCCGGAAUCAUUGGGUUUAAAGGGUCCGUAGGUGGAUUGGUCAGUCAGAGGUGAAAUCCUGCAGCUCAACUGUAGAACUGCCUUUGAUACUGCCGGUCUUGAAUUAUUGUGAAGUGGUUAGAAUAUGUAGUGUAGCGGUGAAAUGCAUAGAUAUUACAUAGAAUACCAAUUGCGAAGGCAGAUCACUAACAAUAUAUUGACACUGAUGGACGAAAGCGUGGGGAGCGAACGGGAUUAGAUACCCCGGUAGUCCACGCCGUAAACGAUGUCUACUAGCUGUAGGGGUACUUGAGACCUUUGUAGCGCAGCUAACGCAAUAAGUAGACCGCCUGGGGAGUACGGCCGCAAGGUUAAA
rnacentral:rRNA from 1 species